rnacentral:lncRNA from 1 species
AUAACGGCGACCGUGAAGACUUUUAAAAUAGAGACCAACGUGGCCGGGCAGGAAGAGCAGGGUCCCGCCUUCAGGUGUUUGGGACUCAGCUGAGGGUGUGGGUGCCCCGCGGUGGGGGCUGAACCUUCCUGGGGUGUGGAGAGACGAAAGGAGCCCAGAUCCAAGUUCCCUCGUUCCCGCUUUGGCAUAAGUUGCCCUGGCGGUCUCAUGAGAGAGAGAAAGAGCUGGGACCCUCCUCGCCCCAGUGAGUGUGAUGUCUUGCUCCGGGUGUCCUGGGGCAACUUUCUAUACAGGCGGGACGUGGGAGGAUCAGACAGUGUAACAUCAGACAAGGGUGUUGACUCUGCAGCACAGAACCAGUAGUUUGUGGAGAAGAAUGGAGGUGUGGUGUUGAAUCUGCUAGACAGGCUACUGAAGCAAAAGUCAAGAGAUCCAGAUUCCAUCAUGGGGACACUUUAGUUCUUCAUCGGGUAAUUGAGCUGAUAUCAGGUGUCUGAAGGAGGCAAGUUUUGAAGAUGUGGGUCAUGAUGGCUGCUGAAGCUUCCACUCCAUAUUUGAAGGUCAGCAGUUCUCAGGAAACCUCUAGCACUUCCAUCCCUGGUGGGAUGUGAUGCCUGUCUCAGUGUAACAUCAGAGAAGGGGUGUACUCUGUGCCCUAGAACUAGGAGCUAACAGAGAAAAACCAAAUGUGAUGUGGAGUCUGCUAGACAGGCUACUGGAGCAAGAGUGAAGCGAUGAAAGUCUCAUCAUUGGGACAUAUUAGGGAGGCAGCAGGUGGCUGAAAUCCUGGUGUGAUGUGGCUGGAUCAUGCAUGAUCUGAGGACUCCUGCACAGAUGCAGUGGAUCCCCAGGUUGCAAGUCAUAUAACCUGAGCAUGCCCAGAUGAACCAAGUAUGCCUGAUUGGUGAACCUGGAACUGGCCAGAACAGAAAAUGUCAACCACAUGUGGAAUCUAAGUAUUCAGAUUGAGAAAUGAGGACCAAAAUGAGAACACUGAGCUCCUCACACAGGUGACUGAACCCGUGGUUUUGGUGUCUGAGAAGAUGCAGCUUCUCCAGUCUCUGCAACUGACGGCAGGAAGAUGGGAGCACUCAGCUUCAGUGUUCAGAAGCAGAUUUAGGCCAAUUGCCAUACCUUACGUUCUGGAGGGAUCCACCCUGACCUGAGCAGAAGGCAUCACACACAUUCCCAAGCAGCAUGGUUCCCGUGAGAAACUGAAAACUAAUUUCUUGAAUCUACAAUGCGACUUCCAUCUUCCAGGUGUAACCAGAGUUUUUCCUGGAGCGAUUCCAGCUUGUUUCCUUUUGGUGCCUUCCUUAAGAAAUUUUGCAGCUGUUUCUGGUGCAGUUUUUGGGUGGGCUCUGGGGUGGGCAGACGAUCUCCACUUUGCAGAGGCUGCUCUUGUGAGUGGAGCUGGUGGUGAGGGAGUAGGAGAGGCCUCGCAUCAUCCUGGCAUUCAGGCCCUUAGCCAUGGAGAAGGACUUGAGGUGGCUUCUUAAGGUACUGGGGAGCGGGAGCUUGUCCACCAGAUGCACAGGUGUGCAGGACACGAUGGUGCGGCAGCAGAGGUCUUGCAAGCUCAGUACCUUGCUCGGCCUCCCGAGCCAAUUCAUCCUGUGCCGCAGCAGCACUAUCCUGGCCAGCUCCGUGAAAGACUCUAUGAUGUUGAAAUUGCACAGAGGGCUGACCUCAAAGAAGGUCACACCCAGGCGCUCGGCGUAGGCCUGGGCCUGCUCCCUGGGCACCUGCCUCUUGAAUGCCAGAUGUAGGCGAUUCCCCACCAGGAUUUUAGGGACACCAGGGGCAUGUUCCUCAAUCUUCUUAAUCCAUCGAUCCAUACCCUCGAAAGACCAGCGGUUUGCAAUGUCGUAGACCAGGAUCACUCCUUGUGCACCACGAGAGUAGGAGCGGAAUAUGGUACAAAAUCUUCCCUGCCCCGACGUAUCCCAGAGCUUCAGCUUCACCCGCUGGCCGUCCAGCAGGAUGGUGGUCGUCUUGUAGUCGAUCCCCCCGAGAUGGCUGUACGGGGACUCAGCUGCACCAUCCUGCAGGCUCUCCAGGAUCUCACUCUUGCCUACGUCCCUGUCGCCCACCAGCAGGAACUUGAGCAGGAAGUCAUAGGCCUGGUCGGGGCUGCCCGGGGCGCUCAUGGUGCUGGCCCCGCACUCCCGCCUGAGCCAGGCCCGCGGGGUUGUGCGCAGAGGUGGUGCCGGGCCUGUUCUUCUUGAGAAAUUAGCAUAGAACAUAAAAAAUGAGAUGGGGAAGUCUGUGAAAUAAAGCGAAAUGAGGUGGUGGC